rnacentral:lncRNA from 1 species
UGGCAUCUUCAGUUUACAUCGACUCGCUCUCAUCUGAGACAAAACUGCUGAGAUUGCUACAGCAUCAUGGAACAGAUGGAAGUUAAAGUCAUCGCUAAGCUCCAGUCUCCAUUUCUUUUGAUGAAGAGCUCCAAAGAUAGCUUUAAGUGAACUUUCAAAGAUUCCAAAACCGUCACGAUGACUUCACAUCAGUGCCAGCAGACAGUCGUGGAAUACAGUGCGCGCUCUCUGCCGCUGACAGCAAUAGCGGUGAUCUAAUUUAUCUGGCGACUGGAGGAAAUUCUCUGUACGGGCUCUGGGUCCCUUUGGAUUAGUGACUACAAGGUCAACUGGAGGAGAAAGGAGGCAAGGCUGAGGGUCACCCGCUCCUGUCUCAUUUGCAUGGUCUUGAAUAUAUGGUUUUAGGAAACAUGCAUUUUUGAUUUAUGAUGUUAAUUCUUCAAUGAUUUUUUGUACAGAUGUGCACAAUAGA